AGGUCACUGGGGUAAUGGUAUCCUGUCGGUCUCCAAAACCGUACGAUGAGCGUUCGAAUCGUUCGUGACCUG
rnacentral:tRNA from 1 species